CGGGGUAUUCACGCACAUUAUACACUACUGUCGCGCUUGCGCCUGCCCGGAAUGCCAGAGAGCCACCGAGGCUGCGUGUGCGCCUGCGCGGCGAAGACGCUAGUCAAAGGUAACGCGACGGCUCGAGGGGGAGGGCGCUCGUCCUCGCCCUGUCAGUAACGUGAGGUAGGUGAUGAACUUGUCGGCUUUUAGCGGCCCUUCCUCCUCCGGCAGUCGCCGCCAUUAUGUCCAUCACCAUAGAGCAAGAGUUCCAGGAGAUCGACGCUGCUAACGAGUGGCAGCCCCGCUACCUGGUGUUGAGCAAGUCAGCAUUGGAUAUACGGCACCAAUCCAGUGAUUACCCACAUAGAGUUGCAAAGUAUGCAGAAAACCGAAAUCGUAAUAGAUACAGAGAUGUUAGUCCAUAUGAUCAUAGUCGUGUGAUACUGCAGAACACAGACAAUGAUUACAUCAAUGCAAGCUUGGUGGUUAAUGAAGAAGCUCAGAGAAAUUAUAUACUAACACAGGGUCCACUUCCUAACACAUGUUGCCAUUUUUGGUUAAUGGUAUGGCAACAAAAGACCAAAGCAGUUGUUAUGCUGAACAGAAUUGUUGAGAAAGAUUCGGUGAAAUGUGAACAAUACUGGCCAUCAAAGGAAGAAGAGCAAAUGAUAUUCAAAGAAACAGGAUUUUGUGUGAGGCUAAAGUCUGAAGAUGUGAAAUCUUACUAUACUGUACGCCAGCUUCAGCUAGAAAAUAUCAGUACUGGUGAGUCCAGGAUGAUAUUCCAUUUUCAUUAUACUACAUGGCCAGAUUUUGGGGUUCCUGAAUCCCCUGCUUCAUUCCUUAACUUCUUGUUUAAAGUCAGAGAAUCUGGAUCUCUGAGCCCUGAACAUGGACCUGCAGUCAUUCACUGUAGUGCUGGAAUUGGACGAUCUGGUACAUUUUCAUUGGUAGACACAUGUCUUGUCUUGAUGGAAAAAAGAGAAGAUCCAUAUUCUGUAGACAUUAAGCAAGUAUUACUGAAUAUGAGAAAGUACCGAAUGGGACUUAUUCAAACUCCUGACCAGCUAAGAUUUUCAUAUAUGGCUGUAAUAGAGGGAUCAAAAUACAUAAUGGGUGAUGCUACUAUACAGAAUCGAUGGAAGAUACUGUCAAAAGAGGACCAGGCACCAAAUUCUGAACGCUCCCCUCCACACACAACCAAGUUAUCUACAGAGAAGUACAAUGGGAAUAGUGUGGGAUUAGAAAAUGAAGAGCAAGCAGAGCAGAUAAACACUGAUCGAUCUUCUGCUGGCCAGAAUGCUGCAGAUGCAAGUGCUGACAUCACUCUUCGAAAGCGGCUGAGAGAAGAUAGGAAAGCCAAUACAGCACAGAUGGUGCAGCAGAUGAGACAUAGGCUGAGUGAAGCUGAAAGAAAAAGAAAAAGGUGGUUAUAUUGGAAACCUAUUCUUACUAAGAUUGGAUUUGGUUCAGCCAUUUUCAUUGCAGUCUAUUCUUGCUGGAAAUUGUAUGUUCAAGGAGUUCUCAUAUAAGUGAGUGCUUAUUCAAUCAUGUGUUUACUGAUGAUAAAAAGUUUAAAUCCCAUUCAUUUCAGUGAGCAUUGCUGGGUCCAAGAAUGCUGCCACAGCACAUGGAACAAACAUGCUGCUACUUCUCUAGUGGCAGUUUAACUUGCAGCACUGAACUCCUACAUCUGAUAUUAAUGCAGUAAUCCUAUAAUGCACAACAGGAGAAUGAUGACUAGUCACUGGCUCAGGACUUUCCACUGCAGGUACUUCUGAAACCAAAUUGAUAGUUGGAAUAAAACGGAACACUCUUGGAUAAAUUAAUGCACAUUUAUCAGCAACUACAUGUAUAGUACUUAACAUAACCUGUUAGAUCUAGCAGAUGGAAUCUCCAAGAUUUGAGUCUGCCAACUCACAUACCCAAUAUAAGCAAUAAAUAGUGUGAUGCUGUACUUUGAAUGUUUGUGUAAAAUAUCAGCUGUUUAUACUAUUUAGCCAAAAUAAAUUUUCUAAUUCACUCGUCAGUCUUACCUUUUGUAAAUUACUGUAUUUUUAAAGGUACAUUUGUACAAAUCUCUUUAACAGAGUAUGUAUUAUUUGCUGGUACAUUCUUGCCCAGCACUUCUAGACUGAUUUGGAAAUUGCCGACUUCACUAUUCCUGACUCAGUGAUUAGGCAAUGGCCUUUUCAGACAUUUGGCAUUAGUCGAAUAGGAGAUACUUCUCAAUUACUGCAUUGCCGAGAGUGACGGACACCUAAACCGCCAAGACUUGUGAAUAUUCUGCAGCUAUAAUUACACACUAUUGGCUUGCAAAGCAGGACAUCAUCCCUCUUCAGGAACAAAAUUGAGGUCCAAGCAGUACCCAGUGGCCUCAUAAAUAUCUGUUUACAACGUAAACAACCAGGGAAUGAAGUACAGCACCAGCAAAAGACUUUGCAAAAUAAAAUAAUUUGUCUUACAUGUUUUAUGCUUGUAUCAUCUGUAGAGAUGUAAGAAGUUACAUUAGAAAAUACUUUGUACUGCCAUUCUUAAUUGUAUUUUUUUAUACUUCUGGCAGCAUUAAAUAUUUUUUUAAUUGCCA